ACCGCCCGUCAAGCCAUCCGAGUGAAUUCUUGGUGAAGUUUGUGAUGAGCAAAUUGAAUCAAGUGUUUGCAAGGAGGGCUAAGUCGUAAC
rnacentral:rRNA from 1 species